UAGGCUGAGACGUGAUGCCGAGCCGAUUCAGGUGAAGUCAGUGAUCCUAUGCUGCCGAGAAAAGCCUCUAGCGAGUUCUUAGCGGCCCGUACCCCAAACCGACACAGGUGGUCAGGUAGAGAAUACCAAGGCGACGGGCGAACUGUGGUUAAGGAACUCGGCAAAUUACCCCCGUAACUUCGGGAGAAGGGGGGCCGGACACGUGAAGCAACACGCUUGUGGAGCGUGGUAUGGCCGCAGAGACCAGGGGGAAGCGACUGUUUACUAAAAACACAGGUCCAUGCGAAGAAGUAAUUCGAUGUAUAUGGACUGACGCCUGCCCGGUGCUGGAACGUUAAGGGGACCUGUUAGCUCUUCGGGGCGAAGCGGAGAACUUAAGCGCCAGUAAACGGCGGUGGUAACUAUAACCAUCCUAAGGUAGCGAAAUUCCUUGUCGGGUAAGUUCCGACCUGCACGAAUGGCGUAACGACUUCCCUACUGUCUCAACCACAGGCCCGGCGAAAUUGCAGUACGAGUAAAGAUGCUCGUUACGCGCGGCAGGACGGAAAGACCCCGGGACCUUUACUAUAGCUUGACAUUGGUAUCUGAGUUAAUUUGUGUAGGAUAGGUGGGAGCCUGUGAAGCUCGUACGCCAGUACGGGUGGAGGCAAUCUUGAAAUACCACUCUGGUUGAUUCGGGUAUCUAACUUCGGACCGUGAUCCGGUUCAGGGACAGUGUCUGGUGGGUAGUUUAACUGGGGCGGUUGCCUCCUAAAGAGUAACGGAGGCGCCCAAAGGUUCCCUCAGCCUGGUUGGCAAUCAGGUGUUGAGUGUAAGUGCACAAGGGAGCUUGACUGUGAGACUGACAGGUCGAGCAGGGACGAAAGUCGGGACUAGUGAUCCGGCACCGGCAUGUGGAAGCGGUGUCGCUCAACGGAUAAAAGGUACCCCGGGGAUAACAGGCUGAUCUUCCCCAAGAGUCCAUAUCGACGGGAUGGUUUGGCACCUCGAUGUCGGCUCGUCGCAUCCUGGGGCUGUAGCAGGUCCCAAGGGUUGGGCUGUUCGCCCAUUAAAGCGGUACGCGAGCUGGGUUUAGAACGUCGUGAGACAGUUCGGUCCCUAUCCGCCGUGCGCGUAGGAUACUUGAGAAGGGCUGUCCCUAGUACGAGAGGACCGGGACGGACGAACCUCUGGUGUGCCAGUUGUCCCGCCAGGGGCACGGCUGGUUAGCUACGUUCGGAAGGGAUAACCGCUGAAAGCAUCUAAGCGGGAAGCUCGCUUCAAGAUGAGGUAUCCCACCCAC
rnacentral:rRNA from 1 species